rnacentral:rRNA from 1 species
UGGCCACCGGUAACUUAUCAUCCGCCUACAAUAAGAUGUCCGCCAGGGUACUACGAGCAUUAGCUUAAAACCCAAAGGACCUGACGGUGUCUCAGACCCCCCUAGAGGAGCCUGUUCUAGAACCGAUAACCCCCGUUAAACCUCACCACUCCUAGCCACCCCAGCCUAUAUACCGCCGUCGUCAGCUUACCCUGUGAAGGUAAUAAAAGUAAGCAAAAUGGGUACAACCCAGAACGUCAGGUCGAGGUGUAGCGCAUGAAGUGGAAAGAAAUGGGCUACAUUUUCUGCUACAGAAUAUUACGAACAUGCAACAUGAAACAAUGCUUGAAGGAGGAUUUAGUAUUAAAAAAGGAAAUAGAGUGUCCCUUUUGAACCCCGGCUCUGAGACGCGUACACACCCGCCCCGUCACCCCUCCUAAU